rnacentral:rRNA from 1 species
GUGUCAGCCGCCGCGGUAAUACGGAGGGCGCAAGCGUUGUUCGGAAUUACUGGGCGUAAAGCGCGUGUAGGCGGCUUGGUAAGUCGGAUGUGAAAGCCCGGGGCCUAACCCCGGAACUGCAUCCGAUACUGCCUCGCUAGAGUCUCGGAGAGGAUGGCGGAAUUUCCGGUGUAGAGGUGAAAUUCGUAGAUAUCGGAAGGAACACCAGUGGCGAAGGCGGCCAUCUGGACGAUGACUGACGCUGAGACGCGAAAGCGUGGGGAGCAAACAGGAUUAGAUACCCGCGUAGUCC